CAGUCGCCACGGGAAUACGUAGGGUGCAAGCGUUAAUCGGAAUUACUGGGCGUAAAGCGUGCGCAGGCGGUUUUGUAAGACAGAGGUGAAAUCCCCGGGCUCAACCUGGGAACUGCCUUUGUGACUGCAAGGCUAGAGUACGGCAGAGGGGGAUGGAAUUCCGCGUGUAGCAGUGAAAUGCGUAGAUAUGCGGAGGAACACCGAUGGCGAAGGCAAUCCCCUGGGCCUGUACUGACGCUCAUGCACGAAAGCGUGGGGAGCAAACAGGAUUAGAUACCCCCGUAGUCCCUGUCUCUUAUAC
rnacentral:rRNA from 1 species